rnacentral:rRNA from 1 species
AGAGUUUGAUCCUGGCUCAGGACGAACGCUGGCGGCGGGCCUAACACAUGCAAGUCGAACGAGAAGCUCCAGCUUGCUGGAGUGGAAAGUGGCGAACGGGUGCGUAACGCGUAGGCAACCUGCCCUCAGAUGGGGAAUAACCACUCGAAAGAGUGGCUAAUACCGCAUGACGUCUCUUGGUCGCAUGACCGGGAGAUUAAAACUCUGGUGUCUGAGGAUGGGCCUGCGUUGGAUUAGGUAGUUGGUGGGGUAACGGCCUACCAAGCCUACGAUCCAUAGCUGGUCUGAGAGGAUGAUCAGCCACACUGGCACUGAGACACGGGCCAGACUCCUACGGGAGGCAGCAGUGAGGAAUAUUGCGCAAUGGGCGAAAGCCUGACGCAGCCACGCCGCGUGAAGGAAGACACCCCUACGGGGCGUAAACUUCUUUUAUGUGAGAAGAAGACCCUGGUCGCCAGGGCUUGACGGUAUCACAUGAAUAAGCACCGGCUAACUCCGUGCCAGCAGCCGCGGUAAUACGGAGGGUGCAAGCGUUGUCCGGAAUCACUGGGUGUAAAGGGUGUGUAGGCGGGACAGCAAGUCAGANGUGAAAUCCCACGGCUUAACCGUGGAACUGCCUUUGAAACUGCUGUUCUUGAGUAUCGGA